rnacentral:rRNA from 1 species
AUUGAACGCUAGCGGGAUGCCUUACACAUGCAAGUCGAACGGCAGCACGGACUUCGGUCUGGUGGCGAGUGGCGCACGGGUGAGUAAUGUAUCGGAACGUGCCCAGUAGCGGGGGAUAACUACGCGAAAGCGUAGCUAAUACCGCAUACGCCCUACGGGGGAAAGCAGGGGAUCGCAAGACCUUGCACUAUUGGAGCGGCCGAUAUCGGAUUAGCUAGUUGGUGGGGUAACGGCUCACCAAGGCGACGAUCCGUAGCUGGUUUGAGAGGACGACCAGCCACAUGGGAACGGAACCACGGCCCAGACGCCUACGGGAGGCAGCAGUGGGGAAUUUGAGACAAUGGGGGAAACCCUGGUCCAGCCAGCCCGCGUGUGAGAUAAAGGCCUUCGGGUUGUAAAGCACGUUUGGCAGGAAAGAAACGUCGCGGGUUAAUACCUCGCGAAACUGACGGUACCUGCAGAAGAAGCACCGGCUAACUACGUG